rnacentral:rRNA from 1 species
GUGCCAGCAGCCGCGGUAAUACGGAAGGUCCGGGCGUUAUCCGGAUUUAUUGGGUUUAAAGGGAGCGCAGGCUGCCUGUUAAGCGUGACGUGAAAUGCCGCGGCUCAACCGUGGAAGUGCGUCGCGAACUGGCGGGCUUGAGUGUGCACGAGGAAGGCGGAAUUCGUGGUGUAGCGGUGAAAUGCUUAGAUAUCACGAAGAACUCCGAUUGCGAAGGCAGCCUUCCAGGGCACUACUGACGCUAAGGCUCGAAGGUGCGGGUAUCGAACAGGAUUAGAUACCCUGGUAGUCCGCACGGUAAACGAUGGAUGCCCGCUGUUGGCGAUAUACAGUCAGCGGCCAAGCGAAAGCGUUAAGCAUCCCACCUGGGGAGUACGCCGGCAACGUGAAAACUCAAAGGAAUUGACGGGGGCCCGCACAAGCGGAGGAACAUGUGGUUUAAUUCGAUGAUACGCGAGGAACCUUACCCGGGCUUGAACUGCAGCAGACGGAUCUAGAGAUAGUGACUCCCUUCGGGGCUGCUGUGGAGGUGCUGCAUGGUUGUCGUCAGCUCGUGCCGUGAGGUGUCGGCUUAAGUGCCAUAACGAGCGCAACCCUUUUCAUUAGUUGCCAUCAGGUCAUGCUGGGCACUCUGGUGAUACUGCCACCGUAAGGUGUGAGGAAGGUGGGAUGACGUCAAAUCAGCACGGCCCUUACGUCCGGGGCUACACACGUGUUACAAUGGGUGGUACAGAGAGUCGGGUGUAUGCAAAUACAUUCUAAUCAAGAAAGCCAUCCUCAGUUCGGAUUGGGUCUGCAACCCGACCCCAUGAAGCUGGAUUCGCUAGUAAUCGCGCAUCAGCCAUGGCGCGGUGAAUACGUUCCCGGGCCUUGUACACACCGCCCGU